rnacentral:rRNA from 1 species
CAUGCCGCGUGUGUGAAGAAGGCUUUCGGGUUGUAAAGCACUUUCAGCGGGGAGGAAAGGCGUACGGUUAAUACCCGUAUGAGUUGACGUUACCCGCAGAAGAAGCACCGGCUAACUCCGUGCCAGCCACUUCGGUGACUGAGCGGGCUGGCAAGGCGCAUA